GAAUAUAUGAAAAGGACACCACGGGACGCUUUACUCUGGAUGUACCAUAUCUGAUGAAAAUCUCGUACCACAGGGGUUGCUCGAUGGAUGGAUGGAUUACAACCCUGACGAAGCAGCGUGAAGCUCAGGAGAACAACAGGUGCCCGACACUAUCAUUGCUGGGCAAAAUUUGUGCACCUUUGGUGGAAGAGGCUCGUCGGCCGACUCUGUUAUCUGAUUCACCUUGGGGUUGACAGUUUUGUUCCUGAGAACUUCAUGUGCGUACAGCGGGGCACAAUCAACCACAAGUUAGUCAACGAUUUGAUGCAGCGCCAGACCACUGUACCAGCCGUACCAGAGAGCAGGCAAUCAUUCGCUCGUCACAGGCAACAGCAGAGAAGCUGGAUUCCAUUGCAUAAAUGGCAUGCCACUUCACAUUGAGGGCCACCAGACAGUGCUUCCAAAAGAAGCAUAGCUGAAACUAGUUUGGCGAAUCCUUGCAGAUUUCUGUUUGGCGAUGUUGUCCGGCAUGGCAAAAACAGAAAAUGACACAAUAAAGAAUAUAAAUCUGUGAAUAGUAAGUGAGUUCUUACGCAUUUCUCAGUCAACACCACCCUACAUGCAGAUUAGGGCCACACUGCAGUACUUAUGUGCCUCUCAGGAUACAACACUGCACGCAAAACAGGACUUGCAAAAGCCGAUGAGCCCUAACGUCCGACUCUCUAGUAAAACCGGUGUCCACACUGUACAUUCCAGUAAGACCAGUGCCCACACUGGACUGUCCAGUAAGGCCAGUAACACUGGACUAUCCAGUAAGACCAGUGUUCAGACUUUGUUAAAAAUCCGAUAUGACACUGGUUACUGGUUUCCAGUCUGUCCAGUAUACUGGUUUUUUCA